rnacentral:rRNA from 1 species
GUGGGGAAUAUUGGACAAUGGGCGAAAGCCUGAUCCAGCCAUGCCGCGUGUGUGAAGAAGGUCUUCGGAUUGUAAAGCACUUUAAGUUGGGAGGAAGGGCAGUAAGUUAAUACCUUGCUGUUUUGACGUUACCGACAGAAUAAGCACCGGCUAACUUCGUGCCAGCAGCCGCGGUAAUACGAAGGGUGCAAGCGUUAAUCGGAAUUACUGGGCGUAAAGCGCGCGUAGGGGGUUUUGUAAGUUGGAGGUGAAAUCCCCGGGCUCAACCUGGGAACUGCCUCAAAAACUGCAUGACUAGAGUACGGUAGAGGGUAGUGGAAUUUCCUGUGUAGCGGUGAAAUGCGUAGAUAUAGGAAGGAACACCAGUGGCGAAGGCGACUACCUGGACUGAUACUGACACUGAGGUGCGAAAGCGUGGGGAGCAAACAGGAUUAGAAACCCGGGUAGUCC